GAGGGACCCCAAAGCCAGGUCUGGAAAAGGGGGGUGGGUUGGGUGGUGGGGGUGCAGCCCCCAAAGAAAUGGGGGUCGAAAUGGAGGAAACCCCACUGAGAUGCUCAAAUGUAAAACCGCUGAAGAAUAAAGGGACAAAUGUACACAUCUGUCUAAAUGAAAAAAAUGAAAAUCCUGGCCGCAAAAACACAUACAUUAACGUCUAAAGACCUGCAGGGAAGACAAGACUUUUCCGCCUGGGACACAUGAAAGACAUCGAGCUAAUUUCCUUAAUAAAUGAAGAGCUCUUGGAAACCAACGAGAUAAAGACCAAACCAAGACAGAAAAAUGGGCAAAAGGGAUAAAACUGGCAAUUCGCAAGAAAAUCCAAACGGCUGGCCGACCUGCGAAGGAAACAUCACGACCUGUUUGCAUAAAGAAAUGCAAACCUGAAACACCGGGCACGUGCGGUUUAGGGGAGCGGGCAGUCUCACACACUACUGAGUUGUUUCCCAGCAGCCGUCAAUACAGACCUUCCACUGCGUAAGCCCACUGCAUUGCCAUUUAAUAAAACAGCAAGAAAAUGAGAGAGAAAAAUAAUGAGGUAGAAUUGUAUGGGAUUAUUAAGGAUUGAAUUCUCAGUAGAUUUAGUGAAAUAUACAAGUUACUGAAGUUUGUAGAAACGAACUGGGCUCCUUUUAUGUCAGGAGAGUCCAAAUCCAGUACCUGUUUGCCACAAUGAGCCUGGGACCUCAACAUGCAUGGAGUGCUUCCGGACCUCAUUACCCAAGAGCAGUCAGAUUUUUAAUUUCCUCUGCCUUUUUCAAGAUCAUUAGUUCAGAAGGUUUAUGUUUUCAAUUCCACAUAUCCUUGCAUUUUUCUUUCAAGUUUUGACCCAUAUGGAUAUCUUAAAUAUUCCUAUUAUUGCAAGUUUAUAUUAAAAGGAGGUUAAAUUGUGAACUCACAAACUCAUAGCAUCAUAGCACCAUCUCAAUCAAAAGUAUUAUCUUCUGUGAACUACAACAGUUUUCACUUCUUUCGCAAGUGUGGAGUGACGUUUGCCUGAGGCUGUAUGACCUGUGAUAUCAUGACAAAUUGAAGGCCAAAGCAGAUGCGAAUCCAGCUGUUUUCUAUUAAGUCAAAUGCCAAGGAGAUUUACAAAGAUGUAAAAUAAUGCGCCUCUUCUCAAUAACCUUUGGUUUUGAAAAUUGUUAUUUUUCAUAAAAAAUGUUGCUUCCAUUAACCUGUAAUAGGUUUACUACCAUUAUUUUAAAUAAAAUACACAUUUCAAAUGGCUUAAUUUUUUCUUAAGAUAUAAUUGAUAAGUAAAAAUUGUAUAUAUAGUGUACAACAUGGUGUUUCAAUAUACAUAUACAUUGUAAAAGGAUAUCAAGCUAAUUAACAUAUCUAUCACCUCACUAUUUUUGUGUGUGAAGAACACUUAAGAUCUACUCUGUUAGCAAUUUUCAAGUAUAAACUAUAGUCACCAUACUGUGCAACAGAUCACCAGGACUUUUUAAUCCCAUCUAACCGAAAUUUUGCACCCUUUGGCCAACAUCAGCUCAUCUCCUCUGACCCCUGACAACCACCAUUCUACUCUCUACUUGUAUGAGUUCAACUUUUUUAGAUUCCAAAUAUAAAUGAGAUCAUGCAGUGUUUGUCUUACCGUAAUGUCCUCCAGGUUUAUCCAUGUUGUCAUAAGUGACAGCAUUUCCUUCUUUUUAAAGGCUGGAAAAGUAUGCCAUUGUACAUAUAUUCAUUUUAUUUAUCCAUUCAUCAAUCCAUGGACAAUUAGGUUGAUUCCACAUCUUGGCUAAUGUGAAUAAUGCUGCAAUGAACAUAGAAGUGUAUACUGAUUUUGUUUAGAUAUGUAGCCAGAAGUGAGAUUGCUGGGUCAUACGGUAGUUUUACUUUUUUUAAAUGAAUUUCCAUACUGUUUUCCAUAAUGGCUAUAUUAAUUUACGUUCCCACCAACAAUGUACACAGGUUCCCUUUCUCCAUAUCUUUGCCAACACUUGAAGCUUUUUAGUUUGAUUCAAUCCCUUUUGUCUAUUUUUGCUUUUUCUGCCUGUGCUUUUAAAGUCUUAUCCAAAAAUCAUUGGUCAGACCAAUGACAAGAAGUUUCUUCCGUUACGUUUUCUCCCAUUAGUUUCACAGUUUCAGCUCUUAAGUCUUUAAUCCAUUUUGAGUUGAUUUUGUAAUAUGGUGUGUCUAAUUUCAUUCCUUCAUAUAUGGAUAUCUAGUUUUCCCCACCCACUUAUUUAAAAAAAAGUCCUUUCCCUGUUGUGUGUUCUUGACACUUUUGUCAAAGAUUGACUGACUAUAAAUUACGGGAUCUAUUUCUGGGCUAUUUUGUUCUAUUGGUCUCUAUGUCUGGUUUUAUGCCAGUAUCAUGCUGUUUUUAUUACUGUAGCUUUAUACUCAAUUUUGAAAUCAGGUAGUGUGAUGCCUUUCCAGCUUUGUUCUUUUUGCUGAAAGUUUGGUUAUUUGGGGUAUUCUGUGGUUUCUUAUGAGUUUUAGGAGUAUUUUUCUAUUUCUGUGAAAAAUGACACUGGAAUUUUUUUAUGGAAAUUGCGCUGAAUCUACACAUCACUUUGGGUAGUAUGGAGAUUUUAACAAUAGUUUCUAAUCCAUGAACACCAGAUAUUUUUCUAUUUGUGUCUUCAACUUCUUUCAUCAAAGUCUUAUAGUUUUCAGUGAACAG
rnacentral:lncRNA from 1 species